rnacentral:lncRNA from 1 species
GAAGGGCAGAGACACCAGGAGACACAGAGAGGUAACAGGAGGUGCAAGAUGGAAGAGAGAUAACGCCACGUGAUAGAAUGUAGAUUAAUAUAAAUGGGUUAAUUUAAGUUAUAAGAACUAGUUAAAAACAGGCCUAAACUAAGGCCAAGCUUUCAUAAUUAAUAAGCCUCCAUGUCGUUUAUUGGUGAACUUGUGCCGAAAAGAAAAAUCUGUCUACAUAUGGCAUCCAAUGUGGAGGUUCAAAUACCCAAACGUAGAGCCUGAGAAAGCUAAGAAAAAUUCUAGACAAGGAGCUGGACAUGGCUUCCUAGUCCUGCAGUCUCCCAGGCAAGCUAGUGCUUGGCAUACAGAGGCACAUACUGGCCACUGCCUGUGGUCUGGAGCCAAAGCCAUGUGCCAGUGCCAUGUACUAAGCUGAGUCAGGUGGCAGCUGACAUGGCAGUUUAAGAUUUGUCUCGUGCAGUCAGAGAACCCUGCAGGUGCUUAGUAAAGCCAGGUCCAGACACAGAAAACCUCUAAAAAGUGAGACAUGUCUGCUCCUGGAAGCACCAGUUUGCUUCAAAAAAGGAUAAUGGACAUCAAAGAACCUCCAUAUGGAGUUUGCUUUUAUUGUGGCAAAGUUAUACACUGGGCAAGAAACUACCCUUGCACUGACUGCUGACAGUAUACCAUCCAAACUGGACAAGGAGGAAACAAAAGAAGGCAGCUGCCAACUUUGCUAAGACAAGUUAACUAGACAGUUCUGCUGCCAUAUGGUAUCAAUUAGACACAGCAAAAGGAAAUUCAGCUGCAGCCACACAGGACGUCACCAGCAGAACAGUCUAGACUUCCUUACAGCAUGGCAGAUGGUUUCUCAGAGGAUCUAAACGGAAGCUGCUAAGCAUCAUAAGACUCUGGCCCAGGUCUGGCAGAGGUGUGGUAGGCAGAAGUCCGCAAUCAGGAUGGAUGCCAGCAAGAUCGGUGCCUCUAAGAGGGAGAAUCCAUUCCGCACUACUCUCCUGGCUUCUGGAAAGUGCAGGCAGUCUUUGCCAUUUUGUGACUUCCAGAUGUAUCACCUUGGUUUUGGC